GUAAUACUGUAUAAUCCCUGCGGGGGAAAGAUUUAUCGCUAUUAGAUGAGCCUAUGUUAGAUUAGCUAGUUGGUAGGGUAAAGGCCUACCAAGGCGAUGAUCUAUAGCUGGUCUGAGAGGAUGAUCAGCCACACUGGAACUGAGAUACGGUCCAGACUCCUACGGGAGGCAGCAGUGGGGAAUAUUGGACAAUGGGCGCAAGCCUGAUCCAGCUAUGCCGCAUGAGUGAGGAAGGCCUUAGGGUUGUAAAACUCUUUCAGUAGGGAAGAUAAUGACGGUACCUACAGAAGAAGUCCCGGCAAACUCCGUGCCAGCAGCCGCGGUAAUACGGAGGGGGCAAGCGUUGUUCGGAAUUAUUGGGCGUAAAGGGCAUGUAGGCGGUUCGGUAAGUUAAAGGUGAAAUGCCAGGGCUUAACCCUGGAGCUGCUUUUAAUACUGCCAGACUAGAGUCCGGGAGAGGAUAGCGGAAUUCCUAGUGUAGAGGUGAAAUUCGUAGAUAUUAGGAGGAACACCAGUGGCGAAGGCGGCUAUCUGGUCCGGUACUGACGCU
rnacentral:rRNA from 1 species